GGUCUCAUGGUGUAACGGUUAGCACUCCUGGACUCUGAAUCCAGCGAUCCGAGUUCAAUUCUCGGUGAGACCU
rnacentral:tRNA from 1 species